rnacentral:rRNA from 1 species
GACGAACGCUGGCGGCGUGCCUAAUACAUGCAAGUCGAGCGAAGUUUUUCUGGUGCUUGCACUAGAAAAACUUAGCGGCGAACGGGUGAGUAACACGUAAAGAACCUGCCUCAUAGACUGGGACAACUAUUGGAAACGAUAGCUAAUACCGGAUAACAGUAUUUCUCGCAUGAGAGAUAUUUAAAAGUUGGUUAUGCUAACACUAUGAGAUGGCUUUGCGGUGCAUUAGCUAGUUGGUGGGGUAAAGGCCCACCAAGGCGACGAUGCAUAGCCGACCUGAGAGGGUGAUCGGCCACACUGGGACUGAGACACGGCCCAGACUCCUACGGGAGGCAGCAGUAGGGAAUCUUCCGCAAUGGGCGAAAGCCUGACGGAGCAACGCCGCGUGAGUGAAGAAGGAUUUCGGUUCGUAAAGCUCUGUUGUUAGGGAAGAAUGGAUAUGUAGUAACUAUACAUGUAAGAGACGGUACCUAACCAGAAAGCCACGGCUAACUGCGUG